rnacentral:rRNA from 1 species
UACGGAGGAUGCAAGCGUUAUCCGGAAUGAUUGGGCGUAAAGCGUCCGCAGGUGGCAAUGUAAGUCUGCUGUUAAAGAGUCUAGCUCAACUAGAUAAGAGCAGUGGAAACUACAUAGCUAGAGUACGUUCGGGGCAGAGGGAAUUCCUGGUGUAGCGGUGAAAUGCGUAGAUAUCGGAAGGAACGCCGGUGGCGAAAGCGAUCGACUGGACCUUUUCUGACGCUGAGGCGCGAAAGCCAGGGGAGCAAACGGG